AUUGAACGCUGGCGGCAUGCUUUACACAUGCAAGUCGAGCGGCAGCGCGGGGGCAACCCUGGCGGCGAGCGGCGAACGGGUGAGUAAUGCAUCGGAACGUACCCUGGAGUGGGGGAUAACGCCGCGAAAGCGGCGCUAAUACCGCAUAUGCUCUGAGGAGGAAAGUGGGGGACCCGCAAGGGCCUCACGCUCUGGGAGCGGCCGAUGUCCGAUUAGCUAGUUGGUGGGGUAAAGGCUUACCAAGGCGACGAUCGGUAGCUGGUCUGAGAGGAUGAUCAGCCACACUGGGACUGAGACACGGCCCAGACUCCUACGGGAGGCAGCAGUGGGGAAUUUUGGACAAUGGGGGCAACCCUGAUCCAGCCAUGCCGCGUGAGUGAAGAAGGCCUUCGGGUUGUAAAGCUCUUUUGGUCGGGAAGAAAGUGCCCUGCUUAAUACGCGGGGUAUUUGACGGUACCGGCAGAAUAAGCACCGGCUAACUACGUGCCAGCAGCCGCGGUAACAC
rnacentral:rRNA from 1 species